rnacentral:rRNA from 1 species
UACGUAGGGCGCAAGCGUUAUCCGGAAUUAUUGGGCGUAAAGAGCUCGUAGGCGGUUUGUCGCGUCUGCCGUGAAAGUCAGGGGCUCAACCCUUGAAAGCCGGCCGAUACUGUCGGACUAGAGUCCGGAAGAGGCAAGUGGAAUUCCCGGUGUAGCGGUGAAAUGCGCAGAUAUCGGGAGGAACACCAAUGGCGAAGGCAGCUUGCUGGGACGGUACUGACGCUGAGGCGCGAAAGCCAGGGGAGCAAACGGG